UGGUCCCGGGUGACUUAAGCAUAUCAAUAAGCGGAGGAAAAGAAACCAACAGGGAUUGCCCCAGUAACGGCGAGUGAAGCGGCAAUAGCUCAAAUUUGAAAUCUGGCUCUUUUAGGGUCCGAGUUGUAAUUUGCAGAGGGCGCUUUGGCGUUGGCAGCGGUCCAAGUUCCUUGGAACAGGACGUCACAGAGGGUGAGAAUCCCGUACGUGGUCGCUAUCCUUCGCCGUGUAAAGCCCCUUCGACGAGUCGAGUUGUUUGGGAAUGCAGCUCUAAAUGGGAGGUAAAUUUCUUCUAAAGCUAAAUACUGGCCAGAGACCGAUAGCGCACAAGUAGAGUGAUCGAAAGAUGAAAAGCACUUUGGAAAGAGAGUCAAAUAGCACGUGAAAUUGUUGAAAGGGAAGCGCUUGUAGCCAGACUUGCCUGUAGUUGCUUAUCCAGACUUUUGUCUGGUGCACUCUUCUGCGGGCAGGCCAGCAUCAGUUUGGGCGGUUAGAUAAAGGUCUCUGUCAUGUACCUCUUUUCGGGGAGGCCUUAUAGGGGAGGCGACAUGUAACCAGCCCAGACUGAGGUCCGCGCAUCUGCUAGGAUGCUGGCGUAAUGGCUAUAAGCGGCCCGUCUUGAAACACGGACCAAGGAGUCUAACAUCUAUGCGAGUGUUUGGGUGUCAAGCCCAGACGCGUAAUGAAAGUGAACGGAGGUAAGAACCCUUUGGGUGCAUUAUCGACCGAUCCUGAUGUCUUCGGAAGGAUUUGAGUAAGAGCAUGGCUGUUGGGACCCGAAAGAUGGUGAACUAUGCUUGAAUAGGGUGAAGCCAGAGGAAACUCUGGUGGAGGCUCGCAGCGGUUCUGACGUGCAAAUCGAUCGUCAAAUUUGGGCAUAGGGCGAAAGACUAAUCGA
rnacentral:rRNA from 1 species